UUGCUGGGGGAUUAGUGGCGAACGGGUGAGUAACACGUGAGUAACCUGCCCUUGACUCUGGGAUAAGCCUGGGAAACUGGGUCUAAUACCGGAUAUGACUCCUCAUCGCAUGGUGGGGGGUGGAAAGCUUUUGUGGUUUUGGAUGGACUCGCGGCCUAUCAGCUUGUUGGUGGGGUAAUGGCCUACCAAGGCGACGACGGGUAGCCGGCCUGAGAGGGUGACCGGCCACACUGGGACUGAGACACGGCCCAGACUCCUACGGGAGGCAGCAGUGGGGAAUAUUGCACAAUGGGCGCAAGCCUGAUGCAGCGACGCCGCGUGAGGGAUGACGGCCUUCGGGUUGUAAACCUCUUUCAGUAGGGAAGAAGCGUAAGUGACGGUACCUGCAGAAGAAGCGCCGGCUAACUACGUGCCAGCAGCCGCGGUAAUACGUAGGGCGCAAGCGUUAUCCGGAAUUAUUGGGCGUAAAGAGCUCGUAGGCGGUUUGUCGCGUCUGCUGUGAAAGACCGGGGCUCAACUCCGGUUCUGCAGUGGGUACGGGCAGACUAGAGUGCAGUAGGGGAGACUGGAAUUCCUGGUGUAGCGGUGAAAUGCGCAGAUAUCAGGAGGAACACCGAUGGCGAAGGCAGGUCUCUGGGCUGUAACUGACGCUGAGGAGCGAAAGCAUGGGGAGCGAACAGGAUUAGAUACCCUGGUAGUCCAUGCCGUAAACGUUGGGCACUAGGUGUGGGGGACAUUCCACGUUUUCCGCGCCGUAGCUAACGCAUUAAGUGCCCCGCCUGGGGAGUACGGCCGCAAGGCUAAAACUCAAAGGAAUUGACGGUGGCCCGCACAAGCGGCGGAGCAUGCGGAUUAAUUCGAUGCAACGCGAAGAACCUUACCAAGGCUUGACAUGAACCGGUAAUACCUGGAAACAGGUGCCCCGCUUGCGGUCGGUUUACAGGUGGUGCAUGGUUGUCGUCAGCUCGUGUCGCGAGAUGUUGGGUUAAGUCCCGCAA
rnacentral:rRNA from 1 species